rnacentral:rRNA from 1 species
ACUGAUUCUAGCCCAAACAAACAUUAAUAUAACAAUAAACAACAACUCAAUUAAACCAUUCAGUGACCAUUAAAAGUAUAGGAGAUAGAAAUUUAACCAAGGAGCUAUAGAGACAGUACCGUAAGGGAAAGAUGAAAGAAAUAUCAACAGUACAAAAAAGCAAAGAUUAACCCUUCUACCUUUUGCAUAAUGGAUUAGCUAGAACAAGUUUAGCAAAGAGAACUUUAGUUAAACACCCCGAAACCAGACGAGCUACUUAUGAACAGCUAAAAGAGCGAACUCAUCUAUGUUGCAAAAUAGUGAGAAGAUUUGUAAGUAGAGGUGAAAAGCCAAACGAGCCUGGUGAUAGCUGGUUGUCCAGGAUAGAAUUUCAGUUCAAUUUUAAAUUUACCUAACGAACUAUAAAUCCUAAUGUAAAUUUAAAGUAUAGUCUAAGGGGGUACAGCCCAUUAGAAGAAAGGAAAAAACCUUAUUUAGAGAGUUAUAUAUAUUUCAAGAUCCAUAGUUGGCUUAAAAGCAGCCAUCAAUUAAGAAAGCGUUCAAGCUCAACAUCACCAACAGACUUAAUUCCAAAAACCUCAAACAACUCCUAAAAUACAACUGGACUAAUCUAUUUAUAUAUAGAUGCAUUAAUGCUAAUAUUAGUAACAAGAAGUCAUUCUCCCUGCACAGGCUUAUAUCAGAUCGAAUGCUCACUGAUAGUUAACAGCUCAAUAGUUAUAAUCUAUACACACAUAGCCUAUUACCUUUUACUGUUGACCCAACACAGGAGUGCAAACCUUUAAGGGAAAGAUUAAAAGGAGGAAAAGGAACUCGGCAAACACAAACCCCGCCUGUUUACCAAAAACAUCACCUCUAGCAUAAAAAGUAUUAGAGGCAAUGCCUGCCCAGUGACUUAGUUAAACGGCCGCGGUAUCCUGACCGUGCAAAGGUAGCAUAAUCAUUUGUUCCUUAAAUAGGGACUUGUAUGAAUGGCCACACGAGGGUUUAACUGUCUCUUUCUCCCAAUCAGUGAAAUUGACCUUUCCGUGAAGAGGCGGAAAUACAAAAAUAAGACGAGAAGACCCUAUGGAGCUUUAAUUAACUAUCUUACAUACCACAAUCACUUAACCUACUAGGAAUAAACCAACGUAUACUAAGAUAACAAUUUUGGUUGGGGUGACCUCGGAGAAUAAACAAUCCUCCGAAAGAAAAACAAGCCAAGACAUUACAAGUCAAAGCUAUAACAACUCUAAUUGACCCAAUAUAAUUGAUCAAUGGAACAAGUUACCCUAGGGAUAACAGCGCAAUCCUAUUCUAGAGUCCAUAUCGACAAUAGGGUUUACGACCUCGAUGUUGGAUCAGGACAUCCCAAUGGUGUAGCAGCUAUUAAUGGUUCGUUUGUUCAACGAUUAAAGUCCUACGUGAUCUGAGUUCAGACCGGAGCAAUCCAGGUCGGUUUCUAUCUAUUCCGAUAUUUCUCCCAGUACGAAAGGACAAGAGAAAUAAGGCCAACUUAAAACAGGCGCCUUCAACAUAAUAGAUGAAAUUAUCUUAAUCUAGUAAGUUACCUAUAACCCUGCCCAAGAACAGGGCUC